GAACUUUCCAGAGAUGGAUUGGUGCCUUCGGGAACUGUGAGACAGGUGCUGCAUGGCUGUCGUCAGCUCGUGUUGUGAAAUGUUGGGUUAAGUCCCGCAACGAGCGCAACCCUUAUCCUUUGUUGCCAGUGGUCCGGCCGGGAACUCAAAGGAGACUGCCAGUGAUAAACUGGAGGAAGGUGGGGAUGACGUCAAGUCAUCAUGGCCCUUACGACCAGGGCUACACACGUGCUACAAUGGCGCAUACAAAGAGAAGCGACCUCGCGAGAGCAAGCGGACCUCAGAAAGUGCGUCGUAGUCCGGAUUGGAGUCUGCAACUCGACUCCAUGAAGUCGGAAUCGCUAGUAAUCGUGGAUCAGAAUGCCACGGUGAAUACGUUCCCGGGCCUUGUACACACCGCCCGUCACACCAUGGGAGUGGGUUGCAAAAGAAGUAGGUAGCUUAACCUUCGGGAGGGCGCUUACCACUUUGUGAUUCAUGACUGGGGUGAAGUCGUAACAAGGUAACCGUAGGGGAACCUGCGGUUGGAUCACCUCCUUA
rnacentral:rRNA from 1 species